rnacentral:rRNA from 1 species
UACGGAGGGUGCAAGCGUUAAUCGGAAUUACUGGGCGUAAAGCGCGCGUAGGUGGCUUGAUAAGCCGGUUGUGAAAGCCCCGGGCUCAACCUGGGAACGGCAUCCGGAACUGUCAGGCUAGAGUGCAGGAGAGGAAGGUAGAAUUCCCGGUGUAGCGGUGAAAUGCGUAGAGAUCAGGAGGAAUACCAGUGGCGAAGGCGGCCUUCUGGACUGACACUGACACUGAGGUGCGAAAGCGUGGGUAGCAAACAGG